CCUAAUCACCUCUCCCCAAUGCUUCUUAGGCCUCCCUCUACCUCGCCGACCUCCAACAAUCUUCAGUCGCUCGCAGCUCCUCACCGGGGCAUCGGGACCCCUACUCCGAACAUGCCCGAACCACCUCAGCCUCGCUUUCCGCUUCUUUUCGUCUACCGGGGCCACCCCUACUUUCUGUCGAAUAACUUCAUUCUUAAUCUUAUCUAGCCUGGUGUGCCCAUACAUCCACCUAAGC
rnacentral:lncRNA from 1 species